GGGAAUGGUGAGGUUUAGGUAAUAGGUGUAAGGAUUCAAGCAAGAGGAAUAAGAGAAUGCCACUUAGGCCAUAAACAAGGCCUCGUCGUCACUUUUCAGUGUGUGUGUGUGUGUGUGUGUGUGUGCAUGCGCACGUACACCUGCCAUCGAGCAUGCACAUAUUCAUGCUUGGAAAAGUUCCAGGACCGGCUUUUGCUUUAUUGGAAAACCAGAAAUGUCAGUCCUACUUCUGGAGGAUAAGAUCUGGCCGCGGGGCUGCUGGCCUGGGAGAAUAUUCUGGUCUGGAAGACAGCAGGGCAGUGCCUAGCGGUCCACUUUCACACCCAGACUCACGUUCAGAAAGUGAUGUUCUACCUGACACCCUGCUCACUGCAGCAAUUUCCAGCAGUGUUAAUACUAAGGAGCUCGGGUUUGGGGCUGGGGUGGAGAGGGAGGCAGAUAAUUGGCAGGCUGCCUCUGCUGAUCUUUUCACGGGCUUCUCUCUGGCUCCGGCUCUGCUCUGCGGCUGGGCUGGGCUUGCGCCGUGUCUCCUCCGACCCACCGAGCUGAUCAGGGCUGUCUGCAGCGCGUGUCAAAGCCGCCAGGCACAGGCAGCCGCGCUCCCUGACUUGACAUCCCAUCUCUCAUCCUUCCUCAGAUCUCGUCAACCUACACCGUCUGCUCCGCCAACAGCUAAUAGCGAAAUGACUGCGAGGAAGGCAAUGACAGCGAUAGCUGUCGGCAUUUAUUUUACCUUUGGUUUUUGCUGCACAGAAAAUUCCAGCGCUGAUGAGGUCAGAGCUGCAAGGGGGGAGAGAGACAUGGAGGAGGGCGCGCUGGGUUUGAGGAAGGUGGCGCUCUCAGAAACCUGCCCUUUCUCCUCCAGUACCAUGACAUUCGGGCUGAGUGGUCUCCAGCAAUGAUUUAAUGCCUCUUUUGUUUGGACGUUUGUCCGCUAAGAUAGCCCGUUUGACAGUAUGCACGCAGGCUCCAGGCACCGAGGCUCCAGGACUAAAUAUUUGUUUCCCGC
rnacentral:lncRNA from 1 species